GAUGAAGAACGUAGCGAAAUGCGAUAAGUAAUGUGAAUUGCAGAAUUCAGUGAAUCAUCGAAUCUUUGAACGCACAUUGCACUCUCUGGUAUUCCGGAGAGUAUGCUUGUUUGAGUAUCUGUAAACAUCUCAAAUCUCUCUUCAAUUGCUUCAAUUGGGUCGAGAGAAUUGGAUUUGAGCGAUCCCGACUCCUUCGUCAGAAAGAGGAGGGUCGCUUGAAAUGCAGGUGCAGCUGGACAUUCUUCUGAGCAAAAAGCAUAUCUAUUUAGUCCCGUCAAACGGAUUAUUACUUUUGCUUCAGCUAAUAUAAAGGUUGAAUGAACUACCAACGCUGAUUGCAGGAAAACAUGUUCGUUUAUUCGGACUUGUAAACUCGAUCUCAAAUCAAGUAAGACUACCCGCUGAACUUAAGCAUAUCAAUAAGCGGAGGA
rnacentral:misc_RNA from 1 species